rnacentral:rRNA from 1 species
AGUGAACGCUGGCGGCAGGCCUAACACAUGCAAGUCGAACGGCAGCACAGUAAUAGCUUGCUCUUACGGGUGGCGAGUGGCGGACGGGUGCGGAAUACAUCGGAAUCUACUUUUUCGUGGGGGAUAACGUAGGGAAACUUACGCUAAUACCGCAUACGACCUACGGGUGAAAGCAUGGGAUCUUCGGACCUUACGCGAUUGAAUGAGCCGAUGUCGGAUUAGCUAGUUGGCGGGGUAAAGGCCCACCAAGGCGACGAUCCGUAGCUGGUCUGAGAGGAUGAUCAGCCACACUGGAACUGAGACACGGUCCAGACUCCUACGGGAGGCAGCAGUGGGGAAUAUUGGACAAUGGGCGCAAGCCUGAUCCAGCCAUACCGCGUGGGUGAAGAAGGCCUUCGGGUUGUAAAGCCCUUUUGUUGGGAAAGAAAAGCAGCAGGUUAAUACCCCGCUGUUCUGACGGUACCCAAAGAAUAAGCACCGGCUAACUUCGUG